rnacentral:ribozyme from 1 species
CACAAGCGGUGGAAGAGACGUAUGUAUCGGACAUGUAUGCUGGAGUGACGAUGGUAAUCGAUAUGCCUUCUGCAGAAGUAAUCGAGUGUCAGUGAAAGAUGUAGGUAGUGGUGAAGAUUUAUUAGAUGUGGAAUUACCAUCACGUGUG